GUGGGAUACUGGGGGGUACUGGGGGUACUGGGAGAUAAUGGGGGAUACUGGGGGGUACUGGGAGAUAAUGGGGGGUACUGCGGGGUACUGGGGGAUACUGGGAGAUAAUGAGGGAUACUGGGGGAUACUGGGGGGUACUGGGAGAUAAUGAGGGAAACUGGGGGAUACUGGGAGAUAUUGGGGGAUAGUGGGGGAUACUGGAAGAUAUUGGAGGAUACUGGGAGAUAUGGGGGUGGGAUACUGGGGGGUACUGGGCAGGAUAUGGGGGAUCACUUGGGGACCGCCUGCCCCACACUUAUGGGGUUCACCGUGAGCCCACUGGGGUCAAUUGGAGAUCUUCUGCCCCACAUCUGUGGGGUUCCAUGUGGGCUCAUAGGGGUCACCUGGGGACCUUCUGCCCCACACUUAUGGGGAUUGCUGUGGGUU
rnacentral:lncRNA from 1 species